UACGGAGGGGGCUAGCGUUGUUCGGAAUUACUGGGCGUAAAGGGCGCGUAGGCGGUUCGGUAAGUUAGGCGUGAAAGGCCUGGGCUCAACCCGGGAACUGCGCUUAAGACUGCCGGGCUGAGAGUCCGGGAGAGGAUGGCGGAAUUCCCAGUGUAGAGGUGAAAUUCGUAGAUAUUGGGAAGAACACCUGUGGCGUAAGCGCCUGUCUGGCCAUGACCUGACGCUGUGGCACGAAAGCGUGGGGAGCAAACAGG
rnacentral:rRNA from 1 species